UUGCACGCUGGCGGCAGGCCUCACACAUGCAAGUCGAACGGUAACAGGAAGAAGCUUGCUUCUUUGCUGACGAGUGGCGGACGGGUGAGUAAUGUCUGGGAAACUGCCUGAUGGAGGGGGAUAACUACUGGAAACGGUAGCUAAUACCGCAUAACGUCGCAAGACCAAAGAGGGGGACCUUCGGGCCUCUUGCCAUCGGAUGUGCCCAGAUGGGAUUAGCUAGUAGGUGGGGUAACGGCUCACCUAGGCGACGAUCCCUAGCUGGUCUGAGAGAAUGACCAGCCACACUGGAACUGAGACACGGUCCAGGCUCCUACGGGAGGCAGCAGUGGGGAAUAUUGCACAAUGGGCGCAAGCCUGAUGCAGCCAUGCCGCGUGUAUGAAGAAGGCCUUCGGGUUGUAAAGUACUUUCAGCGGGGAGGAAGGGAGUAAAGUUAAUACCUUUACUCAUUGACGUUACCCGCAGAAGAAGCACCGGCUAACUCCGUG
rnacentral:rRNA from 1 species